GUGGGGAAUCUUCCGCAAUGGACGAAAGUCUGACGGAGCAACGCCGCGUGAACGAUGACGGCCUUCGGGUUGUAAAGUUCUGUUAUACGGGACGAAUGGUACGACGGUCAAUACCCGUCGUAAGUGACGGUACCGUAAGAGAAAGCCACGGCUAACUACGUGCCAGCAGCCGCGGUAAUACGUAGGUGGCAAGCGUUGUCCGGAAUUAUUGGGCGGAAAGGGCGCGCAGGCGGCGUCGUAAGUCGGUCUUAAAAGUGCGGGGCUUAACCCCGUGAGGGGACCGAAACUGCGAUGCUAGAGUAUCGGAGAGGAAAGCGGAAUUCCUAGUGUAGCGGUGAAAUGCGUAGAUAUUAGGAGGAACACCAGUGGCGAAAGCGGCUUUCUGGACGACAACUGACGCUGAGGCGCGAAAGCCAGGGGAGCAAACGGGAUUAGAUACCCUGGUAGUCC
rnacentral:rRNA from 1 species